CCAUUUCCAUCCGUCUCUCACCGCUUUGCUCUACUGCUCAUAUUGCUCAUUUCUCUUCUUCUGCCUCCAAAAUUUCGCUCCUGUUGUCCUACCCAUGAUCCUACGAGAACCAGCUCUUGUUCUCGUGAUUAUUUCCGAUUCAUUGCCAUCAGAUUCCAUCAGGCUUCUGCACCGUCGUAUGGCGGUUUGUGAUUCUCCAUCCAGCUUGUUCUAGUGAAAAUUUCUCUCAUCUAUGGCUGCUCGAGGGGUCGAUUUCAAGUGGUAUGACGGUUUUUUCUUGUCGAUGCUCGCGAUUAGUGUAGUAGUUGUUUCGAUCAACUGGAAGAGGUACCAUACUUGUGUACAUCCCUUGCAUAUAUGGAUUUUGGUUGAUUAUACUACCGUCUUUGUUUUCCGUCUGCUGAUGUUUGUAGAUAAUGGACUUGCUGCUGGAAUGGGUUUGGACUUUGGGUGGCAGCAGAGGUAUGCUCGAUUCUGUGGAAGAAUUGUGGUCCUUUCAAUCCUUGCACUUCUGCUAUAUCCAUUUCUUUGGGCUUGGACUGCCAUCGGUACUUUAUGGUUUAGAGAAGCCCAUAAAUGUCUUUUUGAGCAAGGCCAGAAAUGGGGAUUCCUUAUUUGGCUUCUUUUUAGCUACUGUGCACUCGUAUGCAUUGCUUGCGUGUCAUUGGGAAAGUGGUUAACUCGUAGACAAGCACUCUUGUUUCGGGCGCAACAAGGGAUCCCUGUAUCAGAAUAUGGGGUCUUGGUUGACAUGAUCCGAGUACCUGAUUGGGCUUUUGAAGCCGCAGGACAAGAAACAAGAGUAAUGGGCCAAGAUGCUGCUGCAUAUCAUCCUGGACUUUAUUUGACUCCUGCUCAGAGGGAAGCUGUGGAAGCACUUAUUGAGGAACUUCCCAAAUUCAGGUUAAAGGCUGUUCCAACAGAUUGCAGUGAAUGUCCUAUCUGCUUAGAAGAGUUCCAUGUAGGGAACGAGGUUCGUGGCCUCCCUUGUGCUCAUAAUUUCCAUGUAGGAUGCAUUGACGAGUGGCUUCGACUAAAUGUGAAAUGCCCUAGAUGUCGCUGCUCAGUCUUCCCAAACCUCGAUCUUAGUGCUCUGUCCAAUCUUCAUUCUGAUACUGAAAGGCCAUCUGCAAGUGUUGUUACGGCCAACCGUUAUAUGAGACCUCAACCUUCCAGCCAAAGUUAUCUGGUGAGAUUGCAGGGUCUGCUUCGGCCUGUUCGCACAGAAAACACUGUUGCACACUGUGAUUUAGAGUCUGCUAGUGCUUUGGAAGUUGCUGAGAAUGCUGAGAAUGGAUCUUCCCAUGACCAAACUAUACCGGAAAGGUCUCCCGUAAGACCCAUGCCUUUGAGUCAGUCCACGUCACAACGCUAGUGCUUGACUAUUCAGCCGCCUGGGAAGGGAGACUGGGCAUGUGCUUCAAAGCAGAUCUUGCAAUUCCACUGGAGAAUCUUCUAGGUUUACAGGUCAGGUCAUGUUUUAUCGGAAAAUGUCCGCACUCCAUUCCCCACUAGCAGUGUAGCAGUGACCAAGUAGAGCAGCCUCAACGAGGAUUUAGGUUAAUCGGAGAAAGUGAUUGGUCUGGUUUGAAUGGCUUCCAAUUUUGGCCACAACACCUACAAGGAGACCCACGGGGAAUGUCUAUCCAAUUCCAGGUUUGGUCGUUAUUUCCUUAUUGUUGUUCUUAGAAUCUGUUUUUUUUUUUU